UUACGAUUAAAUCACGAUGAACACACCGGUUCUCGUUCGAUUACUGAAGUUAAGCAUCAUAGAACCAGGUCAGUACUUAAAUGGUGAACCGCUUGGGAAUACCUGGUACUGUA
rnacentral:rRNA from 1 species